rnacentral:rRNA from 1 species
GACGAACCGUCCUAACGUUAUUCGGAAUUACUGGGCUUAAAGCGCGUGUAGGCGGGGAGGCACGUCUGUCGCUUAAAUCCCACGGCUCAACCGUGGAACUGGCGUAGAUACGACCCCCCUGGAGGGGUGUAGGGGGACCUGGAACUUCCGGUGGAGCGGUGAAAUGCGUUGAGAUCGGAAGGAACGCCCGUGGCGAAAGCGAGGUCCUGGACACUUUCUGACGCUGAGACGCGAAAGCCAGGGGAGCAAACGGGG